GGAGAGGUGCUCGAGUGGCUGAAGAGGCACGCCUGGAAAGCGUGUAUACCCGUGAGGGUAUCGAGGGUUCGAAUCCCUCUCUCUCCG
rnacentral:tRNA from 1 species